rnacentral:tRNA from 1 species
GACUCGGUAGCUCAACUGGAAGAGCAUCGGACUUUUACUCCGAGGGUUGUAGGUUCAAAUCCUGCUCGAGUCA